UACAGAGGGUGCGAGCGUUGUCCGGAAUCACUGGGCGUAAAGGGCGCGUAGGUGGCGGCCCAAGUCCGUGGUGAAAGCUCGCCGCUUAACGGCGAGUCGGCCACGGAGACUGGGUGGCUCGAGCACUGUAGGGGCAGAUGGAAUUCCGGGUGUAGCGGUGGAAUGCGUAGAGAUCCGGAAGAACACCAGUGGCGAAGGCGGUCUGCUGGGCAGUUGCUGACACUGAGGCGCGACAGCGUGGGGAGCAAACAGG
rnacentral:rRNA from 1 species